UGUGGCAAUUGGGAGAUACUGAUACUUGU
rnacentral:piRNA from 1 species